GCAGCAUGGUCUUAGCUUGCUAAGGCUGAUGGCGACCGGCGCACGGGUGAGUAACACGUAUCCAACCUGCCGUCUACUCUUGGCCAGCCUUCUGAAAGGAAGAUUAAUCCAGGAUGGCAUCAUGAGUUCACAUGUCCGCAUGAUUAAAGGUAUUUUCCGGUAGACGAUGGGGAUGCGUUCCAUUAGAUAGUAGGCGGGGUAACGGCCCACCUAGUCAACGAUGGAUAGGGGUUCUGAGAGGAAGGUCCCCCACAUUGGAACUGAGACACGGUCCAAACUCCUACGGGAGGCAGCAGUGAGGAAUAUUGGUCAAUGGGCGAUGGCCUGAACCAGCCAAGUAGCGUGAAGGAUGACUGCCCUAUGGGUUGUAAACUUCUUUUAUAAAGGAAUAAAGUCGGGUAUGCAUACCCGUUUGCAUGUACUUUAUGAAUAAGGAUCGGCUAACUCCGUGCCAGCAGCCGCGGUAAUACGGAGGAUCCGAGCGUUAUCCGGAUUUAUUGGGUUUAAAGGGAGCGUAGAUGGAUGUUUAAGUCAGUUGUGAAAGUUUGCGGCUCAACCGUAAAAUUGCAGUUGAUACUGGAUGUCUUGAGUGCAGUUGAGGCAGGCGGAAUUCGUGGUGUAGCGGUGAAAUGCUUAGAUAUCACGAAGAACUCCGAUUGCGAAGGCAGCCUGCU
rnacentral:rRNA from 1 species